AUUGAACGCUGGCGGCAGGCCUAACACAUGCAAGUCGAGCGGAUGAAGGGAGCUUGCUCCUGGAUUCAGCGGCGGACGGGUGAGUAAUGCCUAGGAAUCUGCCUGGUAGUGGGGGAUAACGUCCGGAAACGGGCGCUAAUACCGCAUACGUCCUGAGGGAGAUAGUGGGGGAUCUUCGGACAUCACGCUAUCAGAUGAGCCUAGGUCGGAUUAGCUAGUUGGUGGGGUAAAGGCCUACCAAGGCGACGAUCCGUAACUGGUCUGAGAGGAUGAUCAGUCACACUGGAACUGCGACACGGUCCAUACGCCUGCGGGAGGCAGCAGUGUGGAAUGUUGGACAAUGGGCGAAAGCCUGAUCCAGCCAUGCCGCGUGUGUGAAGAAGGUCUUCGGAUUGUAAAGCACUUUAAGUUGGGAUGAAGGGCAGUAAGUUAAUACCUUGCUGUAUUGACGUUACCAACAGAAUAAGCACCGGCUAACUACGUG
rnacentral:rRNA from 1 species